CCCCACGACCCCCGCCUCCUCUCCUGCCGCCGCCGCGCCCUCCCCACCCGCACGCGUCCCAUCCUCCUCCUCGACCUCCCUCGCUGCCUCUCCUUCUCUUCCUCCUCUCUCUCCUGUGCCGCCGUCCUGCCCCAUCCACCCAUGCUGCACUCCGACGGCGACGAUGACCUGUAAGCGAAGGGCGACGACGCAGAGGAGAGGGAGGUGCGGCAGCAUACGGGAGAGGGUCACCAGCUAGCGUCGGCCUGUGCUGGUGAGGUCGGGCUCCACCGUUCCUGUCCCUCGUCCUCACGCGGCCUCUCUUGGUCACCGGCGCUGCAGUUGCGCGGGGCGUGAGAAUAGCAAGGAGAUGUUGGCCCUCGUCCAGGAACGCGGCGUCCAUGGCCGCUCCUCUCCUCCCGAUUUGCCUCCUCUUCUUUGUGCGCGCCGGCCGCUGCAGCUCCUCGCGCCGCCUCCGUCCAUCCCACCUCUCUUGUUUUCCUCCUCUCUCAGAUCGGGCGCCUUCGCUCGCCGUGGUUCCAGAUCGGGCGGAUUGGAGGAGCAGGGGAGGGCGAGGCCUGGAGCUCCAUCUGCAGCACGCGCUAGACUGGUGCCAUGCUGCAUCUUCUCCUACCUCCGUUCUGGUGCCUCCUCCUACUCGCGUAAACAGCGAGCGGAGGGCGUAAUCACGGAAGUGCCAGAGUUUGGAGGUGGAUGUUACUUCAGGAAGGAAGUUGGUUACAAUUUUCAUUUGUUUGAUGCAGCAGGGACAAACUAAUUUGCAGAAUUUCUUGGUGUUGCGAUCUCUCCCCAUCUUAGCAUUGUCUUUCGUUGAAAGGGGAGGAAAUUUGUGUAUAUCACACCUAUCAGCUGCAUCCCACAAAGAGGAAUUUUGUGUCAGACAUUGCCAUUGGAGAAGCUUUGACAGGUAUGGCCCUUCUUUCAGUAAUAAGGUUUACACAUGUACUGAUGCAAAAGAUUUGAUUCAGAGGAAAUGGAUUGUAAUUUGCACGUGAGGUGGGGCUUUUGAUUGGGCCUUGUGGUGGUUGGAUCCGCUAACAGAUAGGGAGAAGCAUGAUAGAUCGGGCAGAGAUCGCAGGUCGCGGCCAUGGGAGAGCAGGGGAGGCGUGGUUUACGUGAUGGAUAUGUAGUAGGGGAGGGUGAGGAGGACGGGCAUGUGGGAAGGCACAGCAAUGCCGGAGCUAAAGCGGGCGCU